rnacentral:rRNA from 1 species
UACGUAGGGUGCAAGCGUUAUCCGGAAUCAUUGGGCGUAAAGAGUUCGUAGGCGUCCCGAUAAGUCUUCUGUUAAAUCCAUCAGCUCAACUGAUGAACUGCAGAAGAAACUAUCAGGAUAGAGAUCAGCAGAGGCAACUGGAAUGUCGCAUGUAGGGGUAAAAUCCGUUGAUAUGCGAUGGAACACCAAAAGCGAAGGCAGGUUGCUGGGCUGUUUCUGACGCUGAGGAACGAAAGCGUGGGGAGCAAACAGG